UGUGUAUGUGUGUGUGUGUUGCUUUAUAUUUUGACUGGCUCUGCACGGCUCUAGCCGCUCUUGAAGAGCAAGAUGGCCACCUGACCCAAGUAGAAGUAGAUGAAG